rnacentral:rRNA from 1 species
GUCCACGCCCUAAACGAUGAAUACUCGCUGUUAGCGAUACACAGUUAGCGGCUAAGCGAAAGCGUUAAGUAUUCCACCUGGGGGAGUACGGUCGCAAGAUUGAAACUCAAGGGAAUUGACGGGGGCCCGCACAAGCGGAGGAGCAUGUGGUUUAAUUCGAUGAUACGCGAGGAACCUUACCCGGGCUUGAAAGUUAGUGAAUGAUUUAGAGAUAGAUCAGUGAGCAAUCACACGAAACUAGGUGCUGCAUGGCUGUCGU